rnacentral:lncRNA from 1 species
GAAGCUCUCAAAACUUAAAAAAGAUUUGUUUGGAGAUUUUCUUGGGCCAUUUGGCUCAUUCUCGCGUUUAGAAACUGCCACAUUUUGACAAAAAUGGCAAAAAAGAAAUAAAAGGGGAGCGAUUUCCUUGCAUGGUUUUUUGGCCCCUGGCAUUAUCCACCCACCACUCCAGUUCUCCAAACAUUUCAUUCUCCAUUUUUUUUACCUUACCCGGUCGGUUUUUACCCGGGCGGUGGGUUGAAAACGAAGAACUGACGUUGAUUCCUGACAGGAUCGAGCGCGAAUCUGGAGCAUAACGCUCGAAUCACUCGCCCGUUGACUGUCGCUGACUGACAGUCAACUAAAGUCAAACCCCCGCAUGGCGCGGACCAAGUGUCGCCGCGCCCCUCGCACUGCAUGCAUGCAAGGCUCGUAUUUAAGAAAUAGAGCAAAGUUUCUUUUCUUGGAGCUCCGGUUGGAUCGUCGAGUCGAUCGAUCGGUUUCGUUUUUCACGCCCGCGAGGAGAAAUAACUUGGGCUGCC